rnacentral:RNase_P_RNA from 2 species
UGAAGUAGAUGAGACGGCCGCUGGCCUGUAAAGGGCUGGAGGAAAGUCCGGACUCCGCAGGGCAGGGAGGUCGCUAACGGCGACCGGGAGCAAUCUCAGGGAAAGGGCCACAGAAAAUAAACCGCCCCGAUGUAUAUCGGGGUAAGGGUGAAACGGCGAGGUAAGAGCUCACCAGCAACCCGGGCGACUGGGUUGGCUCGGUAACCCCCUCCUGGAGCAAGACCAAAUAGGAAGGCAUUGAAGGACGGCCCGUCCGCGCCUUCGGGUUGGUUGCUUGAGGUGCUGGGCAACCAGCAUCCCAGAUGAAUGGUCGUCACCGGCGGGAGUAAUCCUGCUGGGACAGAAUCCGGCUUACUGUCUGCUUCAGCAA